rnacentral:rRNA from 1 species
UAGGGAAUAUUGCACAAUGGGCGAAAGCCUGAUGCAGCAACGCCGCGUGCACGAUGAAGGUCUUCGGAUCGUAAAGUGCUUUUCUGGGAGAUGAGAAAGGACAGUAUCCCAGGAAUAAGUCUCGGCUAACUACGUGCCAGCAGCCGCGGUAAAACGUAGGAGGCAAGCGUUAUCCGGAUUCACUGGGCGUAAAGCGCGUGCAGGCGGUUUGGUAAGUUGGGCGUGAAAUCUCCUGGCUUAACUGGGAGAGGCCGUCCAAUACUACCGGACUAGAGAGCAGUAGAGGAAGAUGGAAUUCCCGGUGUAGUGGUGAAAUGCGUAGAUAUCGGGAGGAACACCAGUGGCGAAGGCGAUCUUCUGGACUGUUUCUGACGCUCAGACGCGAAAGCUAGGGUAGUAAACGGGAUUAGAGACCCCGGUAAUCCUAGCCGUAAACGAUGUGAACUUGGCGUCGGUAGCUUAAACACUAUCGGUGCCGCAGCAAACGCGAUAAGUUCACCG